AUUGAACGCUGGCGGCAUGCCUUACACAUGCAAGUCGAACGGCAGCACGGGAGCAAUCCUGGUGGCGAGUGGCGAACGGGUGAGUAAAGCAUCGGAACGUGCCCAGUCGUGGGGGAUAACGUAGCGAAAGCUACGCUAAUACCGCAUACGAUCUGUGGAUGAAAGCGGGGGACCGUAAGGCCUCGCGCGAUUGGAGCGGCCGAUGUCAGAUUAGGUAGUUGGGGAGGUAAAGGCUCACCAAGCCGACGAUCUGUAGCUGGUCUGAGAGGACGACCAGCCACACUGGGACUGAGACACGGCCCAGACUCCUACGGGAGUCAGCAGUGGGGAAUUUUGGACAAUGGGCGCAAGCCUGAUCCAGCAAUGCCGCGUGCAGGAUGAAGGCCUUCGGGUUGUAAACUGCUUUUGUACGGAGCGAAACGGCUUCCACUAAUACUGGGGGCUAAUGACGGUACCGUAAGAAUAAGCACCGGCUAACUACGUGCCAGCCGCCGCUGUAACAC
rnacentral:rRNA from 1 species